GACGAACGCUGGCGGCGUGCUUAACACAUGCAAGUCGAACGGAAAGGCCCUGCUUUUGUGGGGUGCUCGAGUGGCGAACGGGUGAGUAACACGUGAGUAACCUGCCCUUGACUUUGGGAUAACUUCAGGAAACUGGGGCUAAUACCGGAUAGGAGCUCCUGCUGCAUGGUGGGGGUUGGAACGUUUCGGCGGUUGGGGAUGGACUCGCGGCUUAUCAGCUUGUUGGUGGGGUAGUGGCUUACCAAGGCUUUGACGGGUAGCCGGCCUGAGAGGGUGGCCGGCCACAAUGGGACUGAGAUACGGCCCAGACUCCUACGGGAGGCAGCAGUGGGGAAUAUUGCACAAUGGGAGGAAGCCUGAUGCAGCAACGCCGCGUGCGGGAUGACGGCCUUCGGGUAGUAAACCGCUUUCGCCUGUGACGAAGCGUGAGUGACGGUAAUGAGUAAAGAAGCACCGGCUAACUACGUG
rnacentral:rRNA from 1 species